GACGAACGCUGGCGGCGUGCCUAAUACAUGCAAGUAGAACGCUGAAGAGAGGAGCUUGCUCUUCUUGGAUGAGUUGCGAACGGGUGAGUAACGCGUAGGUAACCUGCCUUGUAGCGGGGGAUAACUAUUGGAAACGAUAGCUAAUACCGCAUAACAAUGGAUGACACAUGUCAUUUAUUUGAAAGGGGCAAUUGCUCCACUACAAGAUGGACCUGCGUUGUAUUAGCUAGUAGGUGAGGUAACGGCUCACCUAGGCGACGAUACAUAGCCGACCUGAGAGGGUGAUCGGCCACACUGGGACUGAGACACGGCCCAGACUCCUACGGGAGGCAGCAGUAGGGAAUCUUCGGCAAUGGGGGGCAACCCGUGACCGAGCAACGCCGCGUGAGUGAAGAAGGUUUCGGAUCGUAAAGCUCUGUUGUAAGUCAAGAACGAGUGUGAGAGUGGAAA
rnacentral:rRNA from 1 species